UUAACCUCUUGCGCUGGUACGACGUGCCACGCACGUCGAGAAUUUUUUGCUCCAAAAUUGCAAUAUUUUCUCAGUUUUAAGUAUAUUUAAGUA